rnacentral:rRNA from 1 species
GACGAACGCUGGCGGCGUGCUUAACACAUGCAAGUCGAACGGAAAGGCCCUGCUUUUGUGGGGUGCUCGAGUGGCGAACGGGUGAGUAACACGUGAGUAACCUGCCCUUGACUUUGGGAUAACUUCAGGAAACUGGGGCUAAUACCGGAUAGGAGCUCCUGCUGCAUGGUGGGGGUUGGAAAGUUUCGGCGGUUGGGGAUGGACUCGCGGCUUAUCAGCUUGUUGGUGGGGUAGUGGCUUACCAAGGCUUUGACGGGUAGCCGGCCUGAGAGGGUGACCGGCCACAAGGGGACUGCGAGACGGAGCAGACGGCUACGGGAGGCAGCAGUGGGGAAUAUUGCACAAUGGGCGGAAGCGUGAGGCAGCGACGCCGCGUGCGGGAUGACGGCCUUCGGGUUGUAAACCGCUUUCGCCUGAGACGAAGCGUGAGUGACGGUAAUGAGUAAAGAAGCACCGGCUAACUACGUG